rnacentral:rRNA from 1 species
UACGUAGGGUGCGAGCGUUAAUCGGAAUUACUGGGCGUAAAGCGUGCGUAGGCGGUUCGUUAAGUCAGCUGUGAAAGCCCCGGGCUCAACCUGGGAAUUGCGGUUGAAACUGGCGAACUAGAAUCUGGCAGAGGGGGGUGGAAUUCCACGUGUAGCAGUGAAAUGCGUAGAGAUGUGGAGGAACACCGAUGGCGAAGGCAGCCCCCUGGGCUGAGAUUGACGCUCAGGCACGAAAGCGUGGGAGCAAACAGG